AUGGAGCUGUUGGAGCAAGUCCAGAGGAGGCCACGACGACGACCAGGGGCUGGAGCACCUCCCAUACAGAGACAAGCUGAGAACACUGGGGCUGCUCAGCCUGGAGAAGAGAAGCUGCGUGGAGACCUCUGAGCAGCUUCCAGUGUCUGAAGGGGGCUACAAGGAUGCUGGAGAGGGACUCUUCAUCAGGGACUGUGGUGAUAGGACAAGGGGUGAUGGGUUCAAACUGAAACAGGGGAAACUGAGAUGAGCUCUUAGGCAGAAGCUCUUCCCUGUGUGGGUGCUGAGGUGCUGGCACAGGGUGCCCAGAGAAGCUGUGGCUGCCCCAUCCCUGGCAUGCUCAAGGCCAGGCUGGAGCAACCUGCUCUAGUGGAAGGUGUCCCUGCC